UGCUAGUCCAAUAGGGAAAAGAGUGUAAUACAAACUAAUCCCACACUUCCCUGAAACAAAAGGCUGUGGUAUGCAAAAAGGAAAGGCACAAAAGGAUCUUAAGUUUUGGGGGGUGGCAGGGGGGCACGGUGGUUUGUUGAUUGAUGUGAUUAGGCCAUUUGGGUUUGUUAACUGGCUCUUAUCCAGAGGAGAAACAAACUUCUAUCUUUAUGAUAGGAGGCAGUGGUGCUAGCUAAAGCAAGGUACCGGUCUUGUACAGGGACUAGGAGCUAGGGUGAGUUAUCUUUCUGAAUAUUUGCAUUUCAAAGAGAUGGCUCCCAAGUCUUUGAGGAAACUGUGUUGGGUGGUAGACUUACAUCACCAAGGGUAGAGAAACAAGCUUUCUAAAGUGACUGCUCUAAGAAGGGGUUCAGGGACCUAUCUGCCUAUCAUCAAGUUUUGGCUGGAACAAACAGUAAAUUCUCCAGGCAUUGAGUUUUGAUUUCAGGGAAGCAUUUUAACGGGAUCUGGGGUCAGCCUAGGGACAAGGCCUUAAGCUACUGGAAGCUAUGCUAGAGUAUAAUCAAAUCUCUCAGUGCCGAGAAAAGAACUUUUAUAUGAGGAAGGUAAAUCCUUUUAAAUUACCAGGCCCAGAGAGACAUUAAAAUGAGACAGCAAUUACAUCCUACUCCCCACUUUGUUAUGCAUUCAUCUCUUUAAACUGCUUACUAUAGCCACAAGUAGCUAAAAAUUAACCUAAUAAUGGUACACUGGACACUGUAACUCGCACCCUAUAGCUUAACGUAUAGCCAACCACUAACCAAUACUAUUUCUACAAACCAGUAAUUCUUUACAACUUUGUAUCAGUCAACUCCCUGUCCCCUUUUUGCCUUUAAAAACCUGAUUGUAACAAAGGUGGACAGGAGUUCACAUUUAAGGUUACUUGGGUCUGGGUCUUCUGGGCAGCUGUCCUCACUUUGGCUAAAGUAAAUGCUUUAAGUUCUAUCUCGUGCCUCAGCGUCUAGGUUGACAGUGUAGUUUGAACAGUCAAUACCUGUCGAGAGUUCUGCAGUUUUCAGAACAAUGGUUGUUAAAAUUCGAUUAAUCUGGCUUUUAAGAUGGUCAAAGUUUUGUAACGUCGGUGUAUUGGAACCACACCACAGAAACAGCGGAUCAUGUAAGUAAAAGUCAAAUAGUUGCCACAUCAAUAAGCUAAUAUAAAUGAAGUAAGCCUGAUUACAAGCUGCUUUGGACAGUCUGGGUUUCCAACUUUGUUUGUCGGUUUGUUUAAUUUUUGCCUCUCAAGUUUAUUAUCCAGUAUUAUGUGUGUUGCCCUCUGUUCCUCCUCCAGCAUGUGUGCCUAUUUUCACAGCUUUUCUCCUCCACGAGUUUCCAAGGGCCACAACUGGUCCUAGCAAAGCCUUGUGAAUGAAAUCCAGCAAUUGGAGCAGACAACUUGGUUAAGAAAACAAAAACAAAAAACCAAGAAACCCUUCAAGAUACGAGGGCUGAGUCUCUGGACUAUCUCCUCUUGCUGUAACCGCCCAAGGGGUUCACCUUUCCCGCUUCCUAGACAGAGCUGAUUCAUCAAGACAGGGGAAUUGCAAUAGAGAAAGAGUAAUUCAUGCAGAGCCAGCUGUGUGAGACCGGAGUUCUAUUAUUACUCAAAUCAGUCUCCCUGAGCAUUCAGGGAGCAGAGGUUUUUUCUUUUUUUUUUUGAUACGUAGUUUCACUCUUGUCGCCCAGGGUGGAGUGCAGUGGUGCGACGUUGGCUCACUGCAACCUCCACCUCCCGGGUUCAAGCGAUUCUCCUGCUUCAUCCUCCUGAGCAGCUGGGACUACAGGCGCGUUUACCACCAUGCCCAGCUAAUUUUUGUAUUUUUAGUAGAGACGAGGUUUCACCACGUUGGCCAGGCUGGUCUUGAACUCCUGACUGCAAGUGAUCCCGCCUCGGCCUCCCAAAUCAGUCAUAAUUUUGCAAAGGCGGUUUCAUUCCCAUAACGAAGUAUUAUUCAAAAAUAUGGCUAAGACCUGCGUCCUUCCGCAACAACUUACUCCCUAAAAAAACCAGAGCAGGGCCAGGCGCGUUGGCUGAGGCCUGUAACCUCAGCACUGUGGGAGGCCCAAACAGUUGGAUUAUUUGAGCUUGAGAGUUGGAGACCAGCCUGGGCAACAUGGCAAAAAUCUGUCGCUACAAAACAUACAAAAAUUAGCCAGGUAUGGCGGUGUGUGCCUGUAGUCCCAGCUACGUCGGGGGCUGAGACAAGAGACUCGCUUAAGCCCAGGAGGUUGAGGCGGCAAUGAGCUGAAAUCGCGCCCCUGCACUGCAGCCUGGGCGACAGAGCCAGACUCUUGUCUCAAAAAACAAAAACCAAAAACCCAGGGCAGCAAGUCUCUCUCAAACCCCUUGGCUUCUUUCCCACUUAUUCCCGUUCCAGUUCCUCGUCUGUUUCACCUUUCCUUUCCUCUGACACUUUCUUGGUAGUUCCCUGCGUCCCCAAGUAAGCCUGCGCAGACUGGGAAGUCUGGG
rnacentral:lncRNA from 1 species